rnacentral:lncRNA from 1 species
AAUGGGUUAGGUAAAUGUUCCAUGAUGGGAAUUUCAUGUCUUUUGUAUUAAAGAAUUAAAUGGAUGAAAUAUGAAAUUUUAUUAAAAAAAAAGGGGUGAAAAGAACAAAGUUGUGUCCAUCUUUGUUCAUCAUAGCCUAAAGUUAGCGAAGAGAAAUGAGAGGAGAAAGCUCUUGAAUGUUCGGUCACUUGGGGAAGAAAAUUGAAGGUAAGUUCAUGGUAGUUUGCUUCUAUCUUGAUGUUCAUGAGUUCUUCUUGAUUCUACCUUAACUCUUGAAGCAUAUUUUGGUUUUUGGUUGUGUUGUGAGCAUUUGGUCAUGAAUUAAAAUGAAGGAAAUGGUUGUUGUUUCAUAUUCUUUUGAUGAAAAAUGGAAGAUAUGUGAAGUUGAGCCAAACAAAUGAGCAUGCAUGUGCUUAGAUGCUAUGGGGAAAAAUCGGCUAAUAUGUUGUGCUUUAAAAUGAUGAAAUGGAG